ensembl:snRNA U6 U6 spliceosomal RNA
GUGUUUGCUUCAGCAGCACAUAUAUUAAAAUGAACAAUACAGAGAAGAUUAGCAUGGCCUCUGUACAAGGAUGAUAUAAAAUUUGUGAUAAGUUUUAAAAAAGACC